AGUCGUAUGGCUCAGUUGGUUAGAGUGUCCGCUUCACAUUUCCCCUUUUAUGUAAGGGCGCGGAAGGUCGAGAGUUCGAAACUCUCUACGACUA